rnacentral:rRNA from 1 species
AACGAACGCUGGCGGCAGGCCUAACACAUGCAAGUCGAGCGGACCCUUCGGGGUUAGCGGCGGACGGGUGAGUAACGCGUGGGAAUAUGCCCUUCUCUACGGAAUAGUCCUGGGAAACUGGGGGUAAUACCGUAUACGCCCUUUGGGGGAAAGAUUUAUCGGGGAAGGAUUAGCCCGCGUUGGAUUAGGUAGUUGGUGGGGUAAUGGCCUACCAAGCCGACGAUCCAUAGCUGGUUUGAGAGGAUGAUCAGCCACACUGGGACUGAGACACGGCUCAGACUCCUACGGGAGGCAGCAGUGGGGAAUCUUAGACAAUGGGGGCAACCCUGAUCUAGCCAUGCCGCGUGAGUGAUGAAGGCCUUAGGGUUGUAAAGCUCUUUCAGCUGGGAAGAUAAUGACGGUACCAGCAGAAGAAGCCCCGGCUAACUCCGUG